rnacentral:rRNA from 1 species
GACAGAGGAGCCAAGCGUUGUCCGGAUUGACUGGGCGUAAAGCGCACGCAGGCGGACGCGCGCGUGGGGUGUGAAAUCUGGCCGCUUAACGGCCAGGCGCCAUCCCAUACGGCGGGUCUGGAGCCUUGCAGAGGUCGGUGGAAUUGCCGGUGUAGUGGUGAAAUGCGCAGAUAUCAGGAGGAACACCGGUGGCGAAGGCGGGUCUCUGGGCCGAUACUGACGCUGGAGGAGCGGAAAGCGUGGGGAGCGAACAGG